GACCUCAGAUCAGACGAGGCUACCCGC
rnacentral:rRNA from 2 species